rnacentral:rRNA from 1 species
UACGUAGGGGGCUAGCGUUGUCCGGAUUUAUUGGGCGUAAAGAGCGUGUAGGCGGCCAGGUAGGUCUGGUGUGAAAACUCGAGGCUUAACCUCGAGAUGUCAUCGGAAACCAUCUGGCUAGAGUCCGGAAGAGGAGAGUGGAAUUCCUGGUGUAGCGGUGAAAUGCGCAGAUAUCAGGAGGAACACCAAUGGCGAAGGCAGCACUCUGGGACGUGACUGACGCUGAGACGCGAAAGCGUGGGGAGCGAACAGG